rnacentral:rRNA from 1 species
AACGAACGCUGGCGGCAGGCCUAACACAUGCAAGUCGAGCGGACCCUUCGGGGUUAGCGGCGGACGGGUGAGUAACGCGUGGGAAUAUGCCCUUCUCUACGGAAUAGUCCUGGGAAACUGGGGGUAAUACCGUAUACGCCCUUUGGGGGAAAGAUUUAUCGGGGAAGGAUUAGCCCGCGUUGGAUUAGGUAGUUGGUGGGGUAAUGGCCUACCAAGCCGACGAUCCAUAGCUGGUUUGAGAGGAUGAUCAGCCACACUGGGACUGAGACACGGCCCAGACCCCUAGGGGAGGCGGGGGGGGGGAACUUAAGAGAAGGGGGGCACCCUUGACAAGGCCUGGCGGGGGGAGUGAGGAGGCCUUAGGGGUGGAAAGGCUCUUGGGGCGGGGAAGAUAAGGACGGGCCAGGAGAAAGAGGCCCGGGCUACCCCCGUG